UUAUUGAAAUAAAACUCAGGCAGGGGGGAGUGUGGUUGUAGCUGGCCCCCUAAUAAGGGCAUGUGCACACUGUCUCUUUCUCUUGUUUGUUUUUUCAUUCUUUCCACUUGUGCACUGCUUGUAGGCAGCCUGGCAUUGUUCGGGUUGUCUAUGAUUUUAUUUUACAUACAUGAAUCAUUGUUGUACAGAAUGUGAUAAAAAAAUAAUAAUACAACUUUCAACAACGGAUCUCUUGGCUCUCGCAUCGAUGAAGAACGCAGCGAAAUGCGAUAAGUAAUGUGAAUUGCAGAAUUCAGUGAAUCAUCGAAUCUUUGAACGCAUCUUGCGCUCCUUGGUAUUCCGAGGAGCAUGCCUGUUUGAGUGUCAUUAAAUUCUGUCAAAACAUGCACUUGAGUGUGUUUUGGAUUGUGGGAGUGUCUGCUGGCUUUAUAUGAGUCAGCUCUCCUGAAAGACAUUAGCUUUGGAGGGAUGUGCCAAGUCACUUCUGCCUUUCCAUUGGUGUGAUAGAUGAAUAAACUUAUCUACGCCAGGAAAGCAGGUUGCAGGUGAUGCACUGUGAUCUCUCUGCUCUCUAAUUGACAUUUGUCUGAUAACUUGACCUCAAAUCAGGUAGGACUACCCGCUGAACUUAA
rnacentral:rRNA from 1 species